UACAGAGGUCCCAAGCGUUGUUCGGAUUCACUGGGCGUAAAGGGUGCGUAGGUGGUAGGGUAAGUUCGAUGUGAAAGCUCCGAGCUUAACUCGGAAAUGGCAUUGAAAACUACCUUGCUAGAGGGUUGGAAGGGGGACUGGAAUUCUCGGUGUAGCAGUGAAAUGCGUAGAUAUCGAGAGGAACACCAGUGGCGAAGGCGAGUCCCUGGACAACUCCUGACACUGAGGCACGAAAGCUAGGGGAGCAAACAGG
rnacentral:rRNA from 1 species